GUCGCCAUGUGAUCCCAGGAAGAGAGGACACAUAAGGCCAGCGUCCUUGGUGGCAAAAGAGGGCAUUCUGAGGUUGCCAUAGACAGACGAAACUUGAUGCAGACAACAUGAAGCCCGUGAAAAUGGACUGGGUGUGCCCUACUUGCUGGGGACUGUUUUCAGAACUGAGAGAUCAUGAUACUGGUGAGCGUGUGAUGGAGCUGAGCUGUUCAUGUCACAGGAAGGGACUGGACACAUACUGACAAGAGGCCACCAAGGGUGUUGUUUGUUUCAAGAUACAGAUGUACAAAAUGAGCUCCACUCGGGGACUGAAAGUGCAGUAGCAGCAUAGGCUGACGGAAGUUGUCCUCUGGAGGCAGGUGAUGCACGAAGACUGGAGAUGGGAACAUACUCUCCUCACCUCCACAGUGCUUCCUGCCAGGCCCUGAAGAGAGCUGACUGACACUGGAGAUUAUUUUUCUAAUAUUUCAGCCAAUGUGCUUUCAUAUCAGGAAUAGGGAGAGUUAACUGUAAUUUAUCAAAGACAAAUUAUUUUAUUAGCUACUCUGAAUCCAGACUCACGCACAAGUUGCACUGAAACCCAGUUCGGGUAAAAUGUCCUCAGAGAAGCAUCAUAGAAUAGUUAUUAAAAGUCAAUAUCCUGAUCCAAAAGGGAAACCAGUCUUUUGGGAUGUUUUCUUUAAACCUACUCUUACUGUUUGAAAACAGAAAUUUUUCAUUAAAGAGCCAAAACCCCCUCAAAGUUAUAAAUCUAUAAUCUUAAAAGACAUUGAAUCUGAAAAAUGAUAUAAUUUAAUAUAAUACAUUCCAAUAAGCUUAAAUAUGGAUUGUUAAAUAUAUUUACAUUGGCUCUAUAAUCUUCAGCAAGCAACACAAUGUGCACAAAUAAUUGGGUCCCUGGGAAUCAAAAUGGGUAUUUCCAAGUUGGAAUCUUAACGUUCAUUUAUAUUUAAUAUUUUUUGUGAAUGCUCCAAGAUAUAAUAACACAGUUUUAUUUAUGGCUGGUGCAAACUUGGAUAAUGUUGCCUGCACAGAGAAGCACAAGAAAAUAAAUUUAAUAAGAGAUCUAGAGGCAUUGGAAAUAUGGCAACGAGAGGGUACUACCAAGAUUUAAGUCGUUAAAAAGUACAGGGAAUGAUCCAAUGCAACUAUGCAGAGGGUGAGAUAGACCACAGAAAAGAAUAGGAUGUAAGAUUAAUUUCUGGGUGAUAGUACAGGGCAAAUGCAAUAUGGACCAACAAUAAUAAAGUCCUUUAUGCUUUUGAACUAGAAAGCCACAUUGUGGCACAGGAGAUGAAGGGCACAACACCCACUUGUUGGGCUUGGCUUCUGUCACUAAUAUACAGCCAUGUAGUAUCCUGAUUGUUGCCACAGCAGAGUGUAUUUCUGUUCAUGUGUAUUCCUUCCAAGUUAAUAUACUGCCAAGGAAUAGGAAAAGACAUGAUGGCUACCCAUGGGAACAAUAUUUAAAUAACAGGAAAGGGAAGGAAAAUGCUCUACUUUGUAUGUGAGUUUUAUUCUUGUUAAACAAAAACCUGCCUGCAGAAAGCUCAGGCAAGGAGAAAAAAAUAUUUUUAACACAAGAGAUUUAUGAAAAUCAAAGCAAGAAAGUUGCUGUUUGAUCUUUAGUUCAUAUAGCAAUUAAUGACCUUAUAUUUUUAUAUUUUAUAUAAAUAGAGCCUAUAUUUUUAAAUAAAUUAAAUUAAUUGAAGAAGAAAAUUUUAAUCCAUUUCACAGAUGAGAAAGCAUGAGGUACAACAAAAUUAAUCAACCAUUUUAACCUCUUUCAGGAUAUGUGCUUUACUGAAAGAAUUUAUAUAUACAUAUGCUAAAGAUCAAAGAUCAUGAUUUUUUUUUCAUUAUUGAAUUUGCUCAUUGAUUCUGUAACUGAGUCACUGGCCAUUAAUCCUGUAGGGCAAUCUUGUGUCUCUUUAUUUGCUUAUAGAGGAUUUCUUUGAUUUUAGUUUAUAAAGUCUUCAUUAAGAAUUUUUCAGUGCUCUAAUUAUACAGUAGACAUCAUAGCUGGAAGGAUGUUUAAGUCCUUCUAAGUAAAUACUACAUGUGUCUAUAUGGAAAUGACAAGUCAAGUGUGAGGACAAGUCAAGAAACUGAGGACAAUGGUCAGUUAAGUGGCCAAACUCAGGUGCCUACUGUGAGCAUGUCUUCACUCUGAACAACAGAGGAAGGAACAUGAGUCAGAUAACUGCUGUGGCAUGUUUACUAGACCCAUAAAACAAGUCUGUGACAAAGCUUAGAAACCAAGGGCCCAAAAUUCAGAUGUACAGAUUGGCAAGACUGAAGACUAAGAAGAAAAAGUUUAUGUGAAAAUUGCAAUGCAAAACUGCGCCUGCUCUCUAGGAUUCAAACUGCACAUGGCAUACACAUUGUUGAGUAAUGGAGGCUUUGCCUUUGCUCAUUGCCAUCCAGAAUAUCAUGAGGUUCUUCAUUAUCAUCAUUGGUUUAAACAAAAUGAGAACACUCAGAAUUACUCAAGAUUUUUCUGAGGUAUUAUAUUGAAUAUAAUCAUAAUUUAAAAUAUUGAUGCCAUAAACUAAAAGUGAGAAUUUGACUGAACAAAAAUGACUUCUUAACUUCUGUUUGGUACCACUUUACCUUCAAGAAAAAUGAGAGAAAAUUGCAACCAUUCACACAUUUCAAGUAUUUUUCAGCAAUCAAUGUACAAAUCUUGACCUUAUAUACAGAAAAAUUUAAAAGAAAAAUACAAUGAAAAAUAACACCUUGGACUAUGAACCAUUGUAUUCAUGUCUCCAUGUCUGAUUCCUCAUUUAGAGACAUUUAUAUAUAACUGAUGUAUGGUUAGGGUGAACCUGUUGAAUGGCUCAUAUUUUGUUUUCUGAUAAUUUCGAUUUUGAGCACAUUUAAUUCAAGGUUGUUAAAAAAUCUGAAGAUAGAGCCAAAUAGUAGUCAGGCUAGUUCCCAGAGGUGUGACGAGCAUUAUACCGUUCAGUAGCAAAUCCAUUGAAAAGGAAGUCAGCUGGAAAAUCGGAGUAUGGUAUCUUGUUAACAAGAUUGACAGAUAGAGGGGUAGCAUUUUCUCUUUUUCCCCCUUUGUCUAUUGAAUUCCAAUAUUCUUUCUUUGCUGCAUGAACCUGUGCUGUGAUUAAAUCAACCUAUGCAUACACUAUAAGUAAAUGUGAUGAUAUUAUACUUUAGCUUUUAGAGAGCUUGUGUGUUAGACAUGUAUAGGAUUGAGGAAGGGAAGCAGAGCAGAUAAUGAAAUCUAGAAGGCCUUACAUAAUGUAAGGAGACAAAAGUUACUGGCAAGGAGGAAGACUGGAAACUUCCAGGCUGAGAGGUGAAAUGGACGGAAGCCACUGUUAUAGGAGCAGAGGCCUUUCUUCCAGAGUAUCUGAAGGUUACCAGUAAUCAUUAUUUUUAAAAAAUACAUAUAAUAAUAAGUGUGAGAAAGCCUCUGCUAUUCUUGUGACCCCAGAAGCUUGUGAAAUGGGACAUCCUUUGUACGUCCCAGUCUAUGAGGUUUUAACACCCGCCCCAACACUCUAAUACCCUUCUUCCCUGGGAAAUGUUGUCUUUUCUAUGAGACUUGUCUGUUUCUACUGCCAUUCAGACUUCUAUAUUCUGGGUUACAAAAACUGGAACUCUUCCAAACUGCCCAACAAACUACAAUACUCACCAAUACCAGGGAGCUAGAAAUGGGAAAUUACAUGAUGGAAUAGUGAGCCAAAUAAGAGAAUGCUGAAGCCGUGUGUCAGCAGGGAGGCACAGAGUCAGAGUUCUUUGGCUAUCUUGAUUCAUGCUGCCAAGAGUUUCUGUUAUUGGCAAGAUUCUGUUACUAAGGGACAUAUUUUUUAGAGCCUCAAGUUGAAGCUUUGAUCAAAGCUGGUGGAAAAUAGCCUGAUAAUUGAGGAGACAGUGGAGGAACUAAAGAACAGGCAGUAUCUCAGAACCAAGAAGGAUCCCCUCCUACUCAAUGCUGUUGAAGCAGAUUACAAGGGAAUCAUAGAGUAGACAUGUUUGAGUUUAAACCAGCAUGUCUAUCUCCUGCACAAAGCACAUGAGUGUUAUUUCUGAUGGGAACAUUGACUUGUUAAGACAGCUGUAGGCUGGUGAAAAAGAAACUGUAUGAAGUCAAGAAUCUUUUCAAACUGUGAACCCAGUGCAGCAUACAUGAAUGAGUAUGAAUGAAGUAUUAUGCCUAUUAACAUCCUUGCAAUUAUCCUGGCGUUUCAGUAAUGCAGUUUUAUUGUAUUCUGUUAUAACAAUGUUAAUUAAAUGACUGUACCAGUUUUAAAGCAGUGGUCUCAACAUUGGAAGCAGUUUAGCAAUACAUGUAGGUUUGUAUGUGUGUGUUCAUGUGCACUUUUGCUUUUGGUGUGUGUAUAUAUUUAUUAACAUUUAACAUUUUAUCCUAGAGGUUCAGACUUCAUAGGCUUUGAAUAUGGCCUAGUCAUGGAAUGUUUUAAAAUAGCUUUGACUCAUAUUAAUGCUUAUCUUAGUUGUGUUAUUCCAGUCAAAAGAUGGUAGUACAAACUAGCAGAAUGACUACAAUCUGUAGAGUAAAACAGUAUGAUUAUAGUCUCAAUUCUAUUGUAUUAAAUAUGUGGACUGAUAGGAAUUAUUUCAUAGGAUAGAUAAAAAUAUGCAAAGAGAAGAGUGAUGAAGAUCAGAACAGCUUUCUGAUACAACAUGUAUCAUGAUUAUUUACUGAGUAUCUGUAAUACUUCAAAUUAAGGAUCAAUUUGAAUAUAUCUUAUGACACAUAAUAAUUGUACGCUUUGUAGUGAGACAUGAAGGUUUUACCACUGGUAUAUAUUGUGUAAUGUUCAUAUGAGUGUCUUCUCAAACUUAUGCUCUUUAGAGAACAGUAAAAAAUGGUAAAAUAUU